ensembl:lncRNA
CUCAGACUAUAUGGAAGCUAAUCAGGACUAAAGGUAAUCAUUGUAUUUCAGGUUGGAGCUGAAGGACACGAAAGCAAUGUUUCUUCUCAAAGAUCUUCCUGGUUGAUUACGCUGUGCAGUUCCAUAGUUGCAAAUCUGCCAGUCCAUCAGCUUACCUACCCACUCGUAUCCAUCAUCCAUCACACUCCAGUUCAUGUACCUGUAAUUAAUGCUCCUGACUAUUGGUUGCAGCUGAAAAAGCAAACAGAGCACCUUGAAAGGCUAAGGAACAAAAGAUGGCUCCAUCUUCGUACUGUCCAGUGUUUGUCACACAAGUCCCAGUACAGAAGACUAAAUCAUGCU